CCCCGGGGGCCCGGCCACCCCCUGACCGCUCCCCAGUGAGCGGCCUUGUCCGGGGCGGCCAGGCCCGGCGGCUCGGGGCCCGGCCCUCCCAGUGCCAGCUGCCAGGAUGUGCCGGUCACGUUGGCGGGGAGAGAACACGCCGUUCUUGGCUGCCCCUUUGUUCAGAGGCAGAGGUGGGGGGCUGUUGUCCUGGCAACCAGCCCUUUCCCCCUCAGACAAUCCCUUGAGGGGCGAGAGCAGAGCCACUUGGGAGGCCGCUGCAGCAAUCAUCCAGGAGCACAGAUCAACUUUCCUGGGCAGCUCCCGUUCGAGCACUCCUCUCCAAGCAGCUGGCAAAAAGGGGAGAACAAGAUUCCUGUGGUGUCUAGUCAAGAGAAACAAGAAGAUACAUCCUUGCAAACAUGUGUACGUGAGUGCGCACAGCGGCAUGAUUCACAGUAGCAGAGAAGUGGCAACGACCCAAGUAUCCAUCAGUGCGGGAAGGAUACACAAAACGGGGUCCCGCUGCCCCAUGAACACGCUAUCCAGCCUUAAAAAGGGAUGAGGCCCUGAUGGUGAGACAGGUCCUGCGUCGUGGGUGGGGCUCGCACAAAGAAUGUGCUCCCGGCCCAUGCAGGAGGCUUGCACGAAGUAGAAGACGUGGCCGAUUUUGCUGGUGAAGGUAGAAGGAAGCCUGGGAGGUAAGCUGAAAUGGAAGUCAAAGGUGUGGCUGCCUGCACUUAACCAAUUAUCUGAAAGCAAAACACACCGGCGCCAUCAGAAGGUUCUAGAAUCUUUUUUCUUUCUUUCUCCCCCCCUCCCCUUUAUUUGUUGGUUUGGCCGGGGGUUUGUUCUGGGCCUGGCCCACCUGUACCUGAGUUAGGCUGAGUUCUGUGCUUUUAGGGAUCUGCAAGCCGGGCUGGAGGGGGAUGCCCUGGGUGGGUGAUGCGGCUGGAGUGGUUACCCCAAAUACCCGUAGGGAUGUGCUCACCUCUACUCUGGGUCUGAGAAACUGGAGGUCCAGCCCCCAGUCGUACAUUCAUUUAACAAACACAUCUUGAGUGCCUACUGUGUGCCAGAGGCUCUUUCAGGCUGUAUUUGCAGCAGAGAGGAAGGCCAGCACAUCUCUCUGCCCUCCCGGAGCCUGGCCUUCAGCACACAGCAUACAGUAGGCACUUAACAUGUGUUGAGUGGCAACCGAGGACCAGGGAGCAACUCACACAGCCCCCAUUUCUGUAACUUCCUCAUUUUUAAAAACUGUUAUUUUCAUUCAUCCAAAUGCCUCUCAUUGUUGUGUCUUCCCCCCUGGAUGGCUAUCCCAGUGACUCCAGGGACAAUGUUUGAUUUAUUCACUGCCGCACCCCCAGCACCUGGCUCAGUGCCGUGUACAGAAGGUGCUCAAUAAAUGUUUUCGAAAUAAACGAGUGAAUCCA